rnacentral:rRNA from 1 species
UACGAGAGGCCCAAACGUUUAUUCGGAUUUACUGGGCUUAAAGAGUUCGUAGGCGGCGCAGAAAGUAGGGUGUGAAAGCCCUCGGCUCAACCGAGGAAUUGCGCCCCUAAACUACUGUGCUUGAGGGACCUAGAGGUGAGCAGAACAGAUGGUGGAGCGGUGAAAUGCGUUGAUAUCAUCUGGAAUACCGGAGGCGAAGGCGGCUCACUG